AAUACAUUUCACCUACCAGAUAGGGGGAGUGCUAGGAAUGGGAAUGUUCCUCUGAUCUCUAUCAAUGAACCGCUCUCAUUUUUGCAAAGGACAGAGUUGCAUGAGCAAGCAAGCACCCUGUGCUCCAAAAGGGUGGGGGUGGGGGGCACUUAGGAGCAAGUGGGCACCCCCCUCUUUGCCACCUUACCCCAGAGAGGAAGAAGAAGAAGAGGGGGGGCAGCAGAAGCACUUUCUCUUCUCUUGUCUACAGCUUCUCCUCCUCCCUCCUUCUUUGCUUUCUCCUCUUCUCUCCUCCUCCCCAAAAGCGAAACAUAACAUAAUCUAGUCAAUCAUAUAAUGGACAGGCUCAUUAUUCAUUGAGCACCAGCUAUUUUUUUUUUUCUUUCAUUUUCUUUUUUUUUUUUUGCCUUUUUGCUCCUGCUGCCUCUUCACCACUUUACUGCAAGGAUUGCUGCCUGAACCUUGCAAGGACCAGUUAAAGUGCUGCCUAUGGCUCCUUCCAUCUACUAGAACUGAAUUCAGUGGUCCAGUAUGAAUGUUGGCCUCCUCCCGGCACCCAGACAAACUGAACUGAAUCCGUGAUUCUGCAGAUGUACGCAACUGGGGACAGCGCACAGAAAAUCCCCGAGAACAGUCUAAGCAACUGUUGGAAUGUUUGAGUGACGAGGGGAUAAGGCAUUCCGCGAGCAAACCCGCCUUGGCCUAAAGGCCGUACACCUACCCCCCCCCCCCAUCAGACCGUCUGUCCUUAAAACAAGCAUGCAGGUCAGCUGUUAAGGUAAGAAGAUGCUAAAAGUAUUAUCCAAACUUCUCCUUUGUGCACAUUUUAUAAUAAAAUGGUUCCUUUUACCGCAGUGGUUAUCAACCCCUGUCCUCAGGGCCCACUAACAGGCCAGGUUUGCAAGAUAACUGAA